CUACGGGGCGCAGCAGUGGGGAAUUUUGCACAAUGGGGGAAACCCUGAUGCAGCGACGCCGCGUGCGGGAAGAAGGCCUUCGGGUUGUAAACCGCUUUCAGCAGGGAAGAAGAGAAGAGGGCUAAUAUCUCUCUGAUUUGACGGUACCUGCACAAGAAGCUCCGGCUAAUUUCGUGCCAGCAGCCGCGGUAAUACGAAAGGAGCAAGCGUUGUUCGGAUUUACUGGGCGUAACGAGAUCGUAGGCGGCUUGUCAAGUCGGGUGUGAAAUCCCGGGGCUCAACCUCGGAACUGCACUCGAUACUGUCGGGCUGGAGUUCGGGAAGGGAAUGCGGAAUUCCGUGUGUAGCAGUGAAAUGCGUAGAUAUACGGAGGAACACCAGAGGCGAAGGCGGCAUUCUGGACCGAUACUGACGCUGAGGAUCGAAAGCGUGGGGAGCAAACAGGAUUAGAUACCCCGGUAGUC
rnacentral:rRNA from 1 species